CCCCUUUUCAGCCCCGCUUAUCACCCCUAUAUAUCUCCUGUCCCCUCGGGGACUAUGGACAUAAACGCGCUCGUAAUAAGCGGAUCGGACCCGGGGGCGGUACCCGGCGGCUCCACCAAAAAUCCUUCGUUUGGGGAUCAUGGGGCCGAAACAGGAUCGACGAACGUCUAAAGGGGUUAGCUUUGUCUCGGCUGUCUGCCACCGUUACCGGCGAAAACAGUACAAUUGCAAACGACAAUCGUGCUCCGGUCGCAAUGGCUGCGUAAGCAGUCGGAGUAACCGAAACUUAAGUCCUUGCGCCUAGCAGCGUAAGGCGGGGUUCGCAGGUACCUGGCAACAGAAACCUGCAUU
rnacentral:tmRNA from 1 species